CCGUUAGGCCUUAGUAGCGCAGCUAACGCGUGAAGUUGACCGCCUGGGGAGUACGGUCGCAAGAUUAAAACUCAAAGGAAUUGACGGGGACCCGCACAAGCGGUGGAUGAUGUGGAUUAAUUCGAUGCAACGCGAAAAACCUUACCUACCCUUGACAUGUCUGGAAAGCCGAAGAGAUUUGGCCGUGCUCGCAAGAGAACCGGAACACAGGUGCUGCAUGGCUGUCGUCAGCUCGUGUCGUGAGAUGUUGGGUUAAGUCCCGCAACAAGCGCAACCCUUGUCAUUAGUUGCUACGCAAGAGCACUCUAAUGAGACUGCCGGUGACAAACCGGAGGAAGGUGGGGAUGACGUCAAGUCCUCAUGGCCCUUAUGGGUAGGGCUUCACACGUCAUACAAUGGUCGGGACAGAGGGUCGCCAACCCGCGAGGGGGAGCCAAUCUCAGAAACCCGAUCGUAGUCCGGAUCGCAGUCUGCAACUCGACUGCGUGAAGUCGGAAUCGCUAGUAAUCGCGGAUCAGAAUGUCGCGGUGAAUACGUUCCCGGGUCUUGUACACACCGCCCGUCACACCAUGGGAGUGGGUUUCACCAGAAGUAGGUAGCCUAACCGCAAGGAGGGCGCUUACCACGGUGGGAUUCAUGACUGGGGUGAAGUCGUAACAAGG
rnacentral:rRNA from 1 species